ACACUGAUGGUGAAGCGGUUAUCAUGCUUGCCUUCCAUUGUUAGCGGUAAGCAAGCGGCAGGGGUUCGACUCCCCUUCAGUGUA